GUCCAGACUCCUAACGGGAGGCAGCAGUGGGGAAUAUUGCACAAUGGGGGAAACCCUGAUGCAGCGACGCCGCGUGAGCGAUGAAGUAUUUCGGUAUGUAAAGCUCUAUCAGCAGGGAAGAAGAUGACGGUACCUGACUAAGAAGCCCCGGCUAACUACGUGCCAGCAGCCGCGGUAAUACGUAGGGGGCAAGCGUUAUCCGGAUUUACUGGGUGUAAAGGGAGCGUAGACGGCGAUGCAAGCCAGAUGUGAAAGCCCGGGGCUCAACCCCGGGACUGCAUUUGGAACUGUGUGGCUGGAGUGUCGGAGAGGCAGGCGGAAUUCCUAGUGUAGCGGUGAAAUGCGUAGAUAUUAGGAGGAACACCAGUGGCGAAGGCGGCCUGCUGGACGAUGACUGACGUUGAGGCUCGAAAGCGUGGGGAGCAAACAGGAUUAGAUACCCCCGUA
rnacentral:rRNA from 1 species